CAGGGGUCCCAAAGCCCCCCCCCCCUCAGGGCUCUCAAGGCUUUAUCUGGGGGGGGCUGCAGCCCUCCCGACCCCCCCGGGAACCCUAAGGGCUUUAAUGGGGUCCACAGCCCCCCCCCCAGGGGUCCCGUGGCUUUAAGGGGUUCACAGCCCCCCCCGGGGGGGGUCAUGGCCCGGAGAGGGGGGGUCCACAGCCACCAUGACCGGGCAGGACACGGGGACCACCUCAGCGUAGGCUGCGGGACCUGCUGGGGGGGGACACCGGGUGCGCUUUGGAGUCCCCAGAGGCAAAUUGGGGGUCCCUGGGGACAGGUUGGGGUCCCCAAAGGGGACGAGGAGGUCCCUGGGGACACGCUGGGGUCCCCAAAGGCAGGUUGGGGUCUCCAAAGGGGGCAAGAGGGUCCCCAGGAGCACGUUGGGGUCCCCGGGGGAGGGACAAGGGGGUCCCUGGGGGCACAUUGAGGUCCCCAAGGGCAGGUUGGGGUCCCCAGGGGCACAUUGGGGUCCCCAAGGUGGGGACAAGGGGGUCCCCAGAGGCAAAGGGGUGUCCCCAGGGGGGCGACAAGAAGGUCCCUGAGGACACUUUGGGAUCCUCAGAGGCAGGUUGGGGUCCCCAAGGGCAGGUUGGGGUCCCUGGGGGGGGCACAAGGAGGUCCCCGGGGGUACUUUGGGGUCCCCAAGUGCAGCUUGGGGUCCCCAGAAGCAAGUUGGGGUCCCCGAGGUGGGGACAAGGAGGUCCCCGGGGGUACUUUGGGUUCUCCAAAGGCAGCUCGGGGUCCCCAGGGAGAUGUGUCCCCAGGGGAAGGGGGACAAGAAGAUGCCUGGGGACAUUUUGGGGUCCCCGUUUGGGGGGGGACAAAGCGGGGGUCCCCGGCAGACACCCCCCCUUGCUGUCCGUCUCCGAGUCCGUCUGUCCCCAGGAUGGGGGUGUCGGGAGGGGAUAAAGGGGGGGGAGGGGGACACAGAUAUGGCGGGGGGUAGGGGUUGGGGACACACGCACAGGACAUCCCUCAGGCGAGGAAGACGACGAAGACGAUGAAGAAGACGAUGAGGAUGAGG
rnacentral:lncRNA from 1 species